CAAUGUCAAGAGGCUAGGUCUUUUGGGUAUCAGGCGCCAACCAAAACAGAAGAAGAAGGAAGAAGGAAGAAGGAAGAGAAGAACUCACCAGUGCCGUCGCACCCAGCUUCGUCGCACCAUCGCACCCAGCUUCGUCGCACCAUCGCCGUCGCCACUCAGUUUCAUUUGGUUGGGGUUUCUUACGCAGCUCACGAUGCUUCGGCAGAGGGUUUGAGGAAUGACCUUGAGCUAGAGAGAUGAUCCUCUGGAAAGCAUAUUAAACAUUUGAGACCAUCAGCUUGAUAUUGUUCAAUAUUUAAAUUGACCACUAAAUAAAAAUCUGAUCUGAAAAUUGGGGAGUGAGGACUGAAGAAUUAAGCACACUAGGGUUGUUUCAGCAAACCAAUUAUCAAUGAAGCUUGCAGGGUUGAAAUCAAUUGAGGACGCGCACGAGGAGUCAGUAUGGGCGGUGACAUGGGUCCCGUCAACCGAGACCCGACCUGCUUUGUUGUUAACCGGAUCACUGGACGAGACCGUGAGGCUGUGGCAGCCAGACGAGCUAGUCAACCGGGGCAAAAUGACUGGCCACUGCCUCGGCGUC